GGCCCCUCAGCACAAGUGCCGGCCAAGGGCGCUACCGGCACUCCAGUCUUAUUUUAGGCUGCAGACAGACUCUUACAGGAACAGGACACUUAAAACUUGGCAGCGUACGUGCCGGCCUUUCAGCGCUCCUCUCCUGAGUGUGGACUUGCUUUAUCAGAGGAUACUUCUUGCAUGCACAUAUUGAACAUACAGGAUACAAGAGAGACAGUAUAGAAUAUUUAAAUAAUUGAUUCCAUUACUGAACACUUAGAAAAAAUCAACAGUAUUGUGAAGUUUCCAGUUACAACUACUGAUUUUAAUACAUGUACUUGCUAAUACAGACUUUAAAUGACAACUGGUAAGAACUGGCAGUUCAUCUUAUCUCAUACACGUGAAACUAGUUCCAGCAAUAAAAAUGGAGAACAGCUCUUGGGACUUCUAAGAAAAUAAAUUUCCCGUAAUUCAACUUGGUUAUUGAUAGCAGACAUCAACAAAUGAAGCAAAGCUCAUGUCUCUGAAUAUUCAGGCCAACAGAAGUCACAGAUCACAUUCUUGCCAAAUAUUCACUGGAACAGUGCUCUGCCAGUUAACUUCAUUAGCAUGUUAAUAAAAGACAAUCUAUUUGAAACAGUCCUCUGAAAGUAAACCUAUCCUUAGUCCUGAAAGCAAUGCAACUUAAAGCAAAACCUUAUUUCAUUAUAGAAGUGCUACAAUAUGUGGGCUUUUAAGGAAUUACAAUGCUAGAACAUCCAGGAAAACAGCUCACACAAGAACAGUCAGUGGUUUGGAGAUGCUGGAACUAACACAUCACGUUUAACAGUCAGCUUCCUAUGCUUGGAAAGAAUUCUGGUGUUUUGGACACAACUGGAUCAUGAAAAAAAGUUACCUACAUCUCAUGUGCAAAACUUAAGUUACACCACAAGAACAAUUAUGAAAUAAAAAAGAAUUGUUCAUUCAGCAGAAGAGACAUCAUCGUCACCAAAAUAAGCCAGGCGAGUAACUCAAAUCAAAGUAAAUAUGACUUUCCAAUAAUUCAAAUUUCACUUCCUAAAGAGAAAAAAUAUUCUGAAAAUCUAUACUAAAAUGAAGAUGAUAAUUUCAAUGUUAAAUUCAUAUAAUGCUAAAUUGUAAACCAUAGAAAAAUAUUACUUUUGUUGACUUAUUUUAAUAACUUGUAAACAAGUAUUCUCUGUUUGUACAUAUGGCAAUGAAAAAAUUCUUACAUCAGUGUAGUUUGAAAAAUAAUUGAAGUGCAUUCUAAAAAUGCAUUGUUAGUUGGUUUUAAUAGCUUCUAUCAUUGAUUUAUAAACUAGAUUAUUUUAUUCUGAUAUAGAGAUAAUUCUCUUUCAUACUCAAAAACAUUCAGGACUACUGUUUUAAGAAUGAUUUGGGGGAAAAAAAAAAAGAGACAACAGCUAUUAAAGGCUAAGAUUUGCCAAUAACGCUCUUGCUGUUACAGAAAUACCACAGGUUUUUUCCUACUUACUAUUAUUUUUAAGUGCUCAUUUUUUCAGCUGAGACUGUUUUGUUGUUGUUAUAAUCGAGAAACAACACCAUCUCUAUUUUGAACACACCUCAGGGGGCAGGGGGAAGCUGACAGCUUUUUUAAUAGAAAAAAACAACCAUGAGGCAUGAAGAUUCUAUUCUGCUGGUCACAACAUUGAAAAGCAUUAAGUAAAACAAUAAGACACUGGUACAUUGUUUCACCGUUUCUGAAUUUUGAGCUAAAUAGAGAGAUUUAUGAGGUACACACAAACAGACAUGAGGAUUUACAUACACAAAUGCUUGGAAACACGCCACAGAAAAGGGGGGUUGAUCUCACACAAAUAACUCCAUGGAAUUCCAUAGGUCUUUCCAGAGCUUGCACCAGUAGAACAUUGGAUUGUCUCACUGCUAUUACAGCCUUCUAACACAUGGGUCUAGAGAAAGAAGUCAUGCUGAAUUACAAGAAGUUAUGUUGGCUUGCCCCAUCCCACCCUAAACAGUUUCAUGGAAGCAAUAGGCUACAUAAUCAGUAAACACAACCUGCUACUUUCCCCCUUCUUUGUCCCAGUUUUGUCCUAAAAAAAAAAUCAAGAGCUAAGUUCAUGUUAAAUUUAUCGCACCGUGAUACCUUGCUUUCAGGUGUUCUCCCCUCUCCUGAGCCUUUCCCUGCUUUCAAGAUGCAUCUCCAAGCUCCUAAUACUCCAGUAAAGACAUUUAACCAAUAUUAGUCAUCUUAUAUUCAACAGCAUAACAUCUUCCCCUCCAUGUACCAUGAGAGUUAUGCUGAUUGCUGAUCCUUCCAGUUCCUUGUUUUUUUCUAAUUUUUUAGGGGUUUUACAUUAGAUAAGAUCUAGUCAUUAUUAUGUGCUUGUAUUUCUAGACAAAAGGGACAAAUUUAUGGUAGAAUAAUGCCAUCUUGAGCCUACUGGGGAAGAACCAAUCAACUAAUUAAAAAAAAAAAAACAAAAAAAGCAAACACCAAACACAAUGGACUUUAGAUCAUAAUCCUGCAAACAUGUACUCACUCAAAAAGAAUUCAAUAGUACUAUGCUGAGCUUAAUAAAAAACUUGUGAAAUUAAACUAAGUAAAACUUCAUAAAAACAAACAAAUUCUCACUUUUUUACAAGGAGUUCCUUCGUCCAAAGAAGCGGACAUGUAAAUAACCACUUCUUAGGAACAAUUUCCCUUUUCAUCUAACCCUCUUUCUUCACAGAUUCCUGGAAAAUAUGUGUUAAGCCUCAACAUUCCAAAAUAGAGAAGUUGAUUUUUUUUUUUAGUUAAGAUUCCUCUCCAUCCAAUACAGAAAGAAAACUUGAAA